GGGGAUGUAGCUCAGUGGUAGAGCAUAUGCUUUGCAUGUAUAAGACCCCAGGUUCGAUCCCUGGCAUCUCCA